rnacentral:lncRNA from 1 species
CAAAGAACUUCUCCUGAUAUUCCAAAGGUUUCUUGCCACUUCCAAGAACUCAGGCAGAUUGGCUGAUUGAUCCAGAAGAAAAGUCUAUCAAAUGGAUCCGGGAUAGGAAUGAAGCUCCUGCCCCCAAUUCUGCUCUGUUGAGAUCACUGCAGUAGCCACCACCACUCACAUCUCUAUCUGAAAUGUCACUGAGAUGCCAGCACACAGGUCCAGGAGGUUCUCCUUGUGCUCAAUGGACAACCACCGCCCUCUAGUGGCCACACGAUGCAGCAUCAUCUACUCAGGAAGAGAUGGAACUCAGAAUGCUGGUUACCAGGUAACCAGAGGCCAGCAGUAGCCUUACCUGACUUACUUGUCUGGAGGACCUAGAGGGAACA